rnacentral:rRNA from 1 species
ACUUAAAUUGAAGAGUUUGAUCAUGGCUCAGAUUGAACGCUGGCGGCAGGCCUAACACAUGCAAGUCGAGCGGUAGCACAGAGAGCUUGCUCUCGGGUGACGAGCGGCGGACGGGUGAGUAAUGUCUGGGAAACUGCCUGAUGGAGGGGGAUAACUACUGGAAACGGUAGCUAAUACCGCAUAAUGUCGCAAGACCAAAGUGGGGGACCUUCGGGCCUCAUGCCAUCAGAUGUGCCCAGAUGGGAUUAGCUAGUAGGUGGGGUAACGGCUCACCUAGGCGACGAUCCCUAGCUGGUCUGAGAGGAUGACCAGCCACACUGGAACUGAGACACGGUCCAGACUCCUACGGGAGGCAGCAGUGGGGAAUAUUGCACAAUGGGCGCAAGCCUGAUGCAGCCAUGCCGCGUGUGUGAAGAAGGCCUUCGGGUUGUAAAGCACUUUCAGCGGGGAGGAAGGCGUUAAGGUUAAUAACCUUGGCGAUUGACGUUACCCGCAGAAGAAGCACCGGCUAACUCCGUGCCAGCAGCCGCGGUAAUACGGAGGGUGCAAGCGUUAAUCGGAAUUACUGGGCGUAAAGCGCACGCAGGCGGUCUGUCAAGUCGGAUGUGAAAUCCCCGGGCUCAACCUGGGAACUGCAUUCGAAACUGGCAGGCUAGAGUCUUGUAGAGGGGGGUAGAAUUCCAGGUGUAGCGGUGAAAUGCGUAGAGAUCUGGAGGAAUACCGGUGGCGAAGGCGGCCCCCUGGACAAAGACUGACGCUCAGGUGCGAAAGCGUGGGGAGCAAACAGGAUUAGAUACCCUGGUAGUCCACGCCGUAAACGAUGUCGAUUUGGAGGUUGUGCCCUUGAGGCGUGGCUUCCGGAGCUAACGCGUUAAAUCGACCGCCUGGGGAGUACGGCCGCAAGGUUAAAACUCAAAUGAAUUGACGGGGCCCGCACAAGCGGUGGAGCAUGUGGUUUAAUUCGAUGCAACGCGAAGAACCUUACCUGGUCUUGACAUCCACAGAACUUUCCAGAGAUGGAUUGGUGCCUUCGGGAACUGUGAGACAGGUGCUGCAUGGCUGUCGUCAGCUCGUGUUGUGAAAUGUUGGGUUAAGUCCCGCAACGAGCGCAACCCUUAUCCUUUGUUGCCAGCGGUCCGGCCGGGAACUCAAAGGAGACUGCCAGUGAUAAACUGGAGGAAGGUGGGGAUGACGUCAAGUCAUCAUGGCCCUUACGACCAGGGCUACACACGUGCUACAAUGGCAUAUACAAAGAGAAGCGACCUCGCGAGAGCAAGCGGACCUCAUAAAGUAUGUCGUAGUCCGGAUUGGAGUCUGCAACUCGACUCCAUGAAGUCGGAAUCGCUAGUAAUCGUAGAUCAGAAUGCUACGGUGAAUACGUUCCCGGGCCUUGUACACACCGCCCGUCACACCAUGGGAGUGGGUUGCAAAAGAAGUAGGUAGCUUAACCUUCGGGAGGGCGCUUACCACUUUGUGAUUCAUGACUGGGGUGAAGUCGUAACAAGGUAACCGUAGGGGAACCUGCGGUUGGAUCACCUCCUUACCUUAAAGAA